CCUACGGGUGGCAGCAGUGGGGAAUAUUGGGCAAUGGGCGCAAGCCUGACCCAGCAACGCCGCGUGAAGGAAGAAGGCUUUCGGGUUGUAAACUUCUUUUGUCAGGGAAGAGUAGAAGACGGUACCUGACGAAUAAGCCACGGCGAACUACGUGCCCGCAGCCGCGGUAAUACGUAGGUGGCAAGCGUUGUCCGGAUUUACUGGGUGUAAAGGGCGUGUAGCCGGGUUGACAAGUCAGAUGUGAAAUCCUGCGGCUUAACCGCAGAACUGCAUGUGAAACUGUUGAUCUAGAGUGCAGGAGGGGCAGGCGGAAUUCCUGGUGUAGCGGUGAAAUGCGUAGAUAUCAGGAGGAACACCGGUGGCGAAGGCGGCCUGCUGGACUGCAACUGACGUUGAGGCCCGAAAGCGUGGGGAGCGAACAGGAUUAGAUACCCGUGUAGUC
rnacentral:rRNA from 1 species